UCGUGGAGUGAUUUGUCUUGUUAAUUCAGUUAACGAACGAGACCUUAACCUACUAACUAGGCUAUAGGCUAGCUUUACGGCUAGUCAGUUUCUAUGGAGUGGUUCGUAUGAGCCAUUUCUUGAAACCUAUAAUAUGGAACUGCAUCUUCGGGUGUAGUUCCUGCUUCUUAGAGGGACAAUACUUCGUUUAUAUUAGAGUAAGGAAGUUUAAGGCAAUAACA
rnacentral:rRNA from 1 species